rnacentral:misc_RNA from 1 species
CUUUUCUUUUAGAUCUUCUAGCAGAAAAGCUAAUUUCUAUCUCAACGUUUUGCAGAAAUUGUCUGCCAUAGAAUCUUAUUCUUCAGUGUUUACCAUGAUGAAACACCACAAACGACAGUAAUUUUUGGCUUAAUGUUUUGCCCAACCAAGUCAGAAACAUGGGCCUAUGCUCAGAAGAAAAUGUUCCCGGGAUACAUUUGUCAGGAAAUAUUACA